UCACACUCCCACUGAAGAAGUAGGAAAUACAUGUUUCCCCAACAAUUUGCCAAACGUGCUGUUUGGUAUCCUCUGAGAGUACAGACAACACACAUCUCCUGCUUGAGUUCAGCGUGUUGCCUGCCCAGUCACGCAACCUGUUAUCAGGAGGCAGCAGCAUGGCCCGUGAUGAGAGGAAACCAGAUGUAAGGUCUGGAUAUUUGAUUUAACAGACUGCCAGAGAGGCAAGCUGUUAGUGACCCUGUUGAUCCAGCCAGCAGUGCUACCCUGUUAGAAGCAGGUUCCCAUCUCAGCUGAGCAGCCACUUCCCUUCCUCGGACCACCCAACACCCAACCCCCAACUCCCUGUGACCUCUCAAACAGAGGAACACACACUUUUAUUGUAAGGCAAUAUGAGUCGACACCGCUGGCAAAGUUUGACACUGGAAUAAAAGAAGCUUGUGUGUGCAGGGGAGAGUUUGAGGGAUAUUAAGAGUUGCUCUGAUUGGAUGGAAAGCCUCUGCUCCUUGCCUGCUCUGCCCCUCACUCUUUUUUUGAACGUGUUCCCUGGCACAUACACACUCUAGUCAAGAGGCAAACUGUGGGCUAAUUCAGUACUGGGCACUCAUGUUACUGCCUCCUUUUGUGCAAAGGGGAGAGGGGCUUAAGGGGUGUGGGCGGAGGAUGACUGGGGGAGGGAGGGGAA